rnacentral:rRNA from 1 species
UACGAAGGGGGCUAGCGUUGCUCGGAAUCACUGGGCGUAAAGGGUGCGUAGGCGGGUCUUUUAAGUCAGGGGUGAAAUCCUGGAGCUCAACUCCAGAACUGCCUUUGAUACUGAGGAUCUUGAGUUCGGGAGAGGUGAGUGGAACUGCGAGUGUAGAGGUGAAAUUCGUAGAUAUUCGCAAGAACACCAGUGGCGAAGGCGGCUCACUGGCCCGAUACUGACGCUGAGGCACGAAAAGCGUGGGGGAGCAAACAGGGAUUAAG